AAUGAGACAUAGUUACAAAGACACUCAUAAUGCAGUAUAUAAAUGUACCAAAGUAACAUUGUUCGCCUUAAAUUUAGACAAUAUUAUUUGUCUAAUAUAUUCAAUAAAUUUGUUUUUAGGUCAUGCUCGAUGGAAGAUAUUCCAGGUCCAUGGAUAGGAAGACUCAAUAUUGUAACAGCGGUAAGGACACGACUCCCGCUGCUGCAGACAUACUGGGUGUCACAUGCUUUGUGGACGUCAGUCCUCACCAUAACCCCGAUGAGAACUUUCACUGAUGGGGGGUUGACCUACAGACCUGCAACAGCACAGGCAAGGAUUAAACUUUAGAAUCAGGGCUGCCGUGAGGCCUUAGCAGCUGGGACAGCAUCUCCUCUGACUUGGCGGAGAACAGAGUGCCGUUCUGUCCCAUGCGGUGGCGAUGGAGUGUGGAGGACAGUCCCCGGAGCCCGGCACAGCCCCGGCACACAGCAGGAACGCGGAGAGAGUUUCGUGAAUGAAAAAAACUGGGGGUUUGAGAUCGUUGCCUCUUGACAAACUUCUAAGUACUGUCGCUUUAAUUUUUUUUAUAUUUUUAA